rnacentral:rRNA from 1 species
UACGGAGGGUGCAAGCGUUAUCCGGAUUUACUGGGCUUAAAGGGUGCGUAGGUGGGUCUGUAAGUCAGUGGUGAAAUCUCCGAGCUUAACUCGGAAACUGCCAUUGAUACUAUAGAUCUUGAAUAUCCUGGAGGUGAGCGGAAUAUGUCAUGUAGCGGUGAAAUGCUUAGAUAUGACAUAGAAUACCAAUUGCGAAGGCAGCUCACUACUGGAUCAUUGACACUGAGGCACGAAAGCGUGGGGAUCAAACAGG